rnacentral:lncRNA from 1 species
ACACCAUAGUACCACAAUGACCAACCUCUUCUGGAGGGCCUUAUCUUGGUGUCAUGGCCUGGUGAGCUAUCUUACUGCGUGUGCCUCUGGAUCUUCUGCCUGGGGAAAAGUCCUGCUUUGUAUCAUCAUUACCUAAUUGACAAAUCUGCCAUGGCUCUGCCCACCUGGUUAAUGGGGCCUUCUCACGACAGGGCUCCAUGCUGUUGAGACCACUUUGCUCUUUCCCAGAAGGUCCAAUCCCACCGCAGCUCCUCAUCCUUCUCUGGCUGAGGUGGUGCUCAGAGUGGUGUGACUGAGCCAAAAGCUAACUCAGCAGCAUUUUCCACCGUAUGAAGCCAUGAUGAGCUUACAUCACAAACACUCUGUACAGUCCUGGAUGUUCUUCCACCCCCACAUCUUUGAAAAGAUAUAGUGGAAAUUGGAGGAGGUUCAGAGAAAAACAAC